rnacentral:pre_miRNA from 1 species
AUACUACUCCCUCUGUUCGGAAUUACUUGUCGCAGAAAUGGAUGUAUCUAUACGUAUUUUAAUUCUAGAUACAUCCAUAUCCGAGACAAGUAAUUCCGAACGGAGGGAGUAGUUA